CUUGCAAAAAGGAGAGGUUGAGUGCAGAAGGAGAAAACCAGCCAACAUACAAUCCAAACGAGAGGCUUUCAAUAAUUACCUGGGUCUAAUUUACAGGCAACCCCUUGAUAUAAGGAUUCCAGAAGAUAUGUUUGAUGUGUAUGCUAUACUUUUUCCACCUAAACUUCCUGAGCUUCCUCCUCUGAGCCCUCCCUCCUUCACCGACAGCUUAUCCACGAGACUACAUUCUCCUAAAACACAGAGCGAACUAGAUGAAGUGCAACGCUUGUAUAAUGAAGAGGAGGAGAAGAAGAAGAAGAAGAGGGAAGAGGCUCACAUGCAUCUCACACCCAUCCCACAAAAACCCCUUCCACCAAUAAAGAGUCCUACACCCCCUCUGACUCCACCCUCCAAGCCUGCCCCACCUUUACUCACCUCUGUCCCUCCCUCGCCCUCUUCUGCCC
rnacentral:lncRNA from 1 species